rnacentral:lncRNA from 1 species
GUGUCGGGUUUGGUUAGGAUUGGGAUUUUCUAUUCUCAAAGAUAUCCAAGUUCUCAUUGAUCAUUGCUAGAGGGAUCUAAUAUUAUCCUUGUUAUUAUUGAAAGUAGGGUAGAGUGUAGGGAUACCGAGGGAGGCCAAUUUUUAUUUGUGUAUCUUAUAAAUAGCUAGCCAAGUGGAUAAGGAUGGAUAGAUAGCUACGAUCAUCAUCAUAUGUGGGAGCAAGGGGUAAUACUACUCUACUUUGAAGUAUUUUUAUGGAGUCUCCCUUAG